AGAGACUUAGGUUAAUACUAGACCAAAAGCCUUCAAAGCUUUCAGUGAGGGUGAAAAUCCCCCAGCCUCUG
rnacentral:tRNA from 1 species